CCUACGGGCGGCAGCAGUGGGGAAUAUUGGACAAUGGGCGAAAGCCUGAUCCAGCCAUGCCGCGUGUGUGAAGAAGGCCUUCGGGUUGUAAAGCACUUUCAGUGGGGAAGAAAGCCUUGGGGCUAAUACCCUCGAGGAAGGACAUCACCCACAGAAGAAGCACCGGCUAACUCCGUGCCAGCAGCCGCCGUAAUACGGAGGGUGCGAGCGUUAAUCGGAAUUACUGGGCGUAAAGCGCGCGUAGGCGGUCUGAUAAGCCGGUUGUGAAAGCCCCGGGCUCAACCUGGGAACGGCAUCUGGAACUGUCAGGCUAGAGUGCAGGAGAGGAAGGUAGAAUUCCCGGUGUAGCAGUGAAAUGCGUAGAGAUCGGGAGGAAUACCAGUGGCGAAGGCGGCCUUCUGGACUGACACUGACGCUGAGGUGCGAAAGCGUGGGUAGCAAACAGGAUUAGAUACCCUAGUAGUC
rnacentral:rRNA from 1 species